CACGUAGGCACCAAGCGUUGUCCGGAUUUAUUGGGCGUAAAGAGCUCGUAGGCGGUUCGGUAAGUCGGGUGUGAAAACUCUGGGCUCAACCCAGAGCCGCCACCCGAUACUGCUGUGACUUGAGUUCGGUAGGGGAGCGGGGAAUUCCUGGUGUAGCGGUGAAAUGCGCAGAUAUACAGGAGGAACACCAGUGGCGAAGGCGGCAUCCUGGACCGGUAUUGACGCUGAGGCGCGAAAGCCAGGGGAGCAAACGGG
rnacentral:rRNA from 1 species